rnacentral:rRNA from 1 species
GAUGAACGCUGGCGGCGUGCCUAAUACAUGCAAGUCGAGCGAACGGACGAGAAGCUUGCUUCUCUGAUGUUAGCGGCGGACGGGUGAGUAACACGUGGAUAACCUACCUAUAAGACUGGGAUAACUUCGGGAAACCGGAGCUAAUACCGGCUAAUAUUUUGAACCGCAUGGUUCAAAAGUGAAAGACGGUCUUGCUGUUACUUAUAGAUGGAUCCGCGCUGCAUUAGCUAGUUGGUAAGGUAACGGCUUACCAAGGCAACGAUGCAUAGCCGACCUGAGAGGGUGAUCGGCCACACUGGAACUGAGACACGGUCCAGACUCCUACGGGAGGCAGCAGUAGGGAAUCUUCCGCAAUGGGCGAAAGCCUGACGGAGCAACGCCGCGUGAGUGAUGAAGGUCUUCGGAUCGUAAAACUCUGUUAUUAGGGAAGAACAUAUGUGUAAGUAACUGUGCACAUCUUGACGGUACCUAAUCAGAAAGCCACGGCUAACUACGUG